CCUACGGGUGGCAGCAGUGAGGAAUAUUGGUCAAUGGGCGAGAGCCUGCACCAGCCAAGUCGCGUGAGGGACGACGGUCCUAUGGAUUGUAAACCUCUUUUGUCGGGGAGCAAAAAGCCCUCGUGAGGCCACAAGUGAGAGUACCCUAAGAAAAAGCAUCGGCUAACUCCGUGCCAGCAGCCGCGGUAAUACGGAGGCUGCGAGCGUUAUCCGGAUUUAUUGGGGUUAAAGGGUGCGUAGGCGGACUGGAAAGUCAGCGGUAAAAUCGAGAGGAUCAACCUCUUUCCGCCGUUGAAACUGUCGGUCGUGAGUGGGCGAGAGGUAUGCGGAAUGCGUGGUGUAGCGGUGAAAUGCAUAGAUAUCACGCAGAACUCCGAUGGCGAAGGCAGCAUACCGGCGCCCGACUGACGCUGAGGCACGAAAGCGUGGGUAUCGAACAGGAUUAGAGACCCGGGUAGUC
rnacentral:rRNA from 1 species